rnacentral:rRNA from 1 species
AAAUUGAAGAGUUUGAUCAUGGCUCAGAUUGAACGCUGGCGGCAGGCCUAACACAUGCAAGUCGAACGGUAACAGGAAGCAGCUUGCUGCUUUGCUGACGAGUGGCGGACGGGUGAGUAAUGUCUGGGAAACUGCCUGAUGGAGGGGGAUAACUACUGGAAACGGUAGCUAAUACCGCAUAACGUCGCAAGACCAAAGAGGGGGACCUUCGGGCCUCUUGCCAUCGGAUGUGCCCAGAUGGGAUUAGCUAGUAGGUGGGGUAACGGCUCACCUAGGCGACGAUCCCUAGCUGGUCUGAGAGGAUGACCAGCCACACUGGAACUGAGACACGGUCCAGACUCCUACGGGAGGCAGCAGUGGGGAAUAUUGCACAAUGGGCGCAAGCCUGAUGCAGCCAUGCCGCGUGUAUGAAGAAGGCCUUCGGGUUGUAAAGUACUUUCAGCGGGGAGGAAGGGAGUAAAGUUAAUACCUUUGCUCAUUGACGUUACCCGCAGAAGAAGCACCGGCUAACUCCGUGCCAGCAGCCGCGGUAAUACGGAGGGUGCAAGCGUUAAUCGGAAUUACUGGGCGUAAAGCGCACGCAGGCGGUUUGUUAAGUCAGAUGUGAAAUCCCCGGGCUCAACCUGGGAACUGCAUCUGAUACUGGCAAGCUUGAGUCUCGUAGAGGGGGGUAGAAUUCCAGGUGUAGCGGUGAAAUGCGUAGAGAUCUGGAGGAAUACCGGUGGCGAAGGCGGCCCCCUGGACGAAGACUGACGCUCAGGUGCGAAAGCGUGGGGAGCAAACAGGAUUAGAUACCCUGGUAGUCCACGCCGUAAACGAUGUCGACUUGGAGGUUGUGCCCUUGAGGCGUGGCUUCCGGAGCUAACGCGUUAAGUCGACCGCCUGGGGAGUACGGCCGCAAGGUUAAAACUCAAAUGAAUUGACGGGGGCCCGCACAAGCGGUGGAGCAUGUGGUUUAAUUCGAUGCAACGCGAAGAACCUUACCUGGUCUUGACAUCCACAGAACUUUCCAGAGAUGGAUUGGUGCCUUCGGGAACUGUGAGACAGGUGCUGCAUGGCUGUCGUCAGCUCGUGUUGUGAAAUGUUGGGUUAAGUCCCGCAACGAGCGCAACCCUUAUCCUUUGUUGCCAGCGGUCCGGCCGGGAACUCAAAGGAGACUGCCAGUGAUAAACUGGAGGAAGGUGGGGAUGACGUCAAGUCAUCAUGGCCCUUACGACCAGGGCUACACACGUGCUACAAUGGCGCAUACAAAGAGAAGCGACCUCGCGAGAGUAAGCGGACCUCAUAAAGUGCGUCGUAGUCCGGAUUGGAGUCUGCAACUCGACUCCAUGAAGUCGGAAUCGCUAGUAAUCGUGGAUCAGAAUGCCACGGUGAAUACGUUCCCGGGCCUUGUACACACCGCCCGUCACACCAUGGGAGUGGGUUGCAAAAGAAGUAGGUAGCUUAACCUUCGGGAGGGCGCUUACCACUUUGUGAUUCAUGACUGGGGUGAAGUCGUAACAAGGUAACCGUAGGGGAACCUGCGGUUGGAUCACCUCCUUACCUUAAAGAAGC